AUUGAACGCUGGCGGCAGGCCUAACACAUGCAAGUCGAGCGAGUGGCGGACGGGUGAGUAAUGUAUGGGGAACUGCCCGAUAGAGGGGGAUAACUACUGGAAACGGUAGCUAAUACCGCAUACUAUCGGAGGUACACAUAUGGGAUUAGCUAGUAGGUGGGGUAACGGCUCACCAAGGCGACGAUCUAUAGCUGGUCUGAGAGGAUGCGCAGCAACACUGGGACUGAGACACGGCCCAGACUCCUCCUGGAGGCAGCAGUGGGGAAUAUUGCACAAUGGGCGCAAGCCUGAUGCAGCAAUGCCGCGUGUAUGAAGAAGUCCUUAGGGUUGUAAAGUACUUUCAGCUGGGAGGCGUUACCCGCAGAAGAAGCACCGGCUAACUCCGUGCCAGCAGCCGCGGUAAUUC
rnacentral:rRNA from 1 species